UACGGAGGGGGCAAGCGUUGUUCGGAAUUACUGGGCGUAAAGGGCGCGCAGGCGGCUGCUCAAGUCAGGCGUGAAAGGCCUGGGCUCAACCCGGGAAUUGCGCUUGAGACUGGGCUGGCUUGAGACCGGGAGAGGUGAGUGGAAUUCCCAGUGUAGCGGUGAAAUGCGUAGAUAUUGGGAGGAACACCAGUGGCGAAGGCGGCUCACUGGACCGGUACUGACGCUGAUGCGCGAAAGCGUGGGGAGCAAACGGG
rnacentral:rRNA from 1 species